UGGUGGAGUGAUUUGUCUGGUUUAUUCCGUUAACGAACGAGACCCGUGCCUGCUAAAUAGUCGAUGUUGCGCUCGUCGCAGCACUUGGCUUCUUAGAGGGACUUGCAUCUAUUCAGUUGAGGGAAGAAAGGGGCAAUAACA
rnacentral:rRNA from 1 species